GACAGAGGGUGCAAACGUUGUUCGGAUUUACUGGGCGUAAAGCGCGUGUAGGCGGCUUGGCAAGUCGGAUGUGAAAGCCCACGGCUCAACCGUGGAAGCGCAUCCGAAACUGCUUCGCUCGAGUCUCGGAGAGGAAGGUGGAAUGCUUGGUGUAGAGGUGAAAUUCGUAGAUAUCAAGCAGAACACCUGCGGCGAAGGCGGUCUUCUGGACGAUGACUGACGCUGAGACGCGAAAGCGUGGGAGCAAACAGG
rnacentral:rRNA from 1 species